rnacentral:misc_RNA from 1 species
UAUUAAUAAAUAAUUUUAACGCACGAAACUAUUAAGUACCAUGUAUAACAAAACAAUAUAAAUAUAAAACACGUAGAAACUGUAAUUUCAACGACGCACUUCUGCCGCAACGAUUAAAACAAGAACAAUCAACAACGCCAAUUUCACAGACUUAAUGGCUCUUGGAGCUGUGCACUACUGUUUUGUAAAUUGGAAUCUUAAUUGGAAUAGGCUUCGCCACUGGAACAGGAAUAUGUUUCACUAUAGUGAAUGGAACAGGCUUCUCAAUUUUCACUGGAAUGAUUUUUUCGACGGGCGUGGGUUAAAUAUUUAAAAAACACUUCAAGGAAUGAUGAAAUUUUAAUCGAGAGUAUUUACCGGAUAUGGAACAGGUUUCUGUACGAACACUGGAACUGGAUAACUCUGUGGAAUAUGUUGAACCUGCAG